rnacentral:rRNA from 1 species
UACGGAGGGUGCAAGCGUUGUUCGGAUUUACUGGGCGUAAAGGGCGCGUAGGCGGUCGUGACAAGUCACUUGUGAAAUCUCCGGGCUUAACUCGGAACGGUCAAGUGAUACUGUCGGACUAGAGUACAGAAGGGGCAACUGGAAUUCUCGGUGUAGCGGUGAAAUGCGUAGAUAUCGAGAGGAACACCUGCGGCGAAGGCGGGUUGCUGGGCUGAUACUGACGCUGAGGCGCGAAAGCCAGGGGAGCGAACGGG